AGUGAAUAGAUACCCUGGUAGUCCUGGCAGUAAACGGUGCGCGUUUGGUGUGGGAGGAUUCGACCCCUUCUGUGCCGGAGCUAAACGCGUUAAACCGCGCCGCCUGGGGAGUACGGUCGCAAGAUUAAAACUCAAAGAAAUUGACGGGGGUCCCGCACAAGCGGUGGAGUAUGUGGCUUAAUUCGAUGCAACGCGAAGAACCUUACCUAGCCUUGACAUGCAUCUCUAAGUCGGUGAAAGCCGGCGAGUGUAGCAAUACACAAUUUGCACAGGUGCUGCAUGGCUGUCGUCAGCUCGUGUCGUGAGAUGUUGGGUUUAAGUCCCGCAACGAGCGCAACCCCGUGUGAACUGUUGCCACCUACAUUCGUGUAGAGCACUCUGUUCAGACUGCCCUGUGAAA
rnacentral:rRNA from 1 species